rnacentral:rRNA from 1 species
CGUGUAGGUGGCCAGGCAAGUCGGGUGUGAAAGCCCCGGGCUCAACCCGGGAAGUGCACUCGAAACUGCUUGGCUCGAGUGCCGGAGAGGGAAGCGGAAUUCUCGGUGUAGAGGUGAAAUUCGUAGAUAUCGAGAGGAACACCAGUGGCGAAGGCGGCUUCCUGGACGGCUACUGACGCUGAGACGCGAAAGCGUGGGGAGCAAACAGGAUUAGAUACCCUGGUAGUCCACGCCGUAAACGAUGGGUGCUAGGUGUCGCAGGCUUUGACUCCUGCGGUGCCGUAGCUAACGCAUUAAGCACCCCGCCUGGGGAGUACGGCCGCAAGGCUAAA